UGCAAGAAAGACGGUUGCUUUUGGAACCCGCUCAAGCACUUCUGCACAACACGUAAUGCGAUUGAGUCCGGAAUUUCACUGUAUAGGAUCAGCAUUUUGUGAGAUCCUUUAGAAAGGCCGUAUUGCAGAGGCUAAGUGGUGGGCGAUUUAUGUGCAUUUGACCUGACCCGUUUCACUGCUUAAUUUAGAUGGACUUUAGGAUUUUAAAAGUCAUCCCCUGACACCUCUGUGCGUGCUGUGUGGUUCCCUUUCACUGCAAGGUUGCAGUGACCUUAAACAGUCACAUGAAUCACGGUUCAUGUGCUUUGAGCCUGUCCUGUCGGGGGAAAGGGAAGAGGGUAAACAGGAAGAAAGGACAUCAUGGAGCAAAAAGUGGCAUAUUUUAGAGUAAGUAAAAUCAAGCUACUCGUGGACUUGACUGGAAAAAGUUUUCAGGACAAACAUCCAAGCGUGCAAGCCAACAAGGCCCUGAGACACCCGAUCUCUGGUAUAUUCGUGUGGUUCCCUCCGCAGGUGCGGGAAGAUGUCAUCGGGCAACGCACCUACACCCAGUAAGGAUCCCACCGGCCUUCCCACUUGCUGGCUGAUGGCUCCCCUCCCACAAGUGGUUGGUUAUGCGAGUCGGAGAGGAUUUUCCAUUUCCUUCACCUUCUUUGUCUUUUCCAGUCAGAUCCCUUACGGUCCUGAAGCAUAAAGUGACCGGUACAGCAGAAGGAAGUUCAUUUCGUUUCUCCAGUAAUGCCUGGCAAAAUUUAUUCUCUGAUCACACGUUUAUUGAAUAUACUGUGUACCAAGCACAGUUGUAGGAAUUGGGGAUUUGGAGAGGACUAUGUAAAGUCCAUGCCCUCCACGGGUUUACAAUAAGGUUAGGGAGGAUUUGGGGUACGAGGGAACUUGAGAUGGCGAAGGCUCCAGGGCAGGAAACUUUGAUCAGCUUUGCCAGCUCACGACCAGAGGCCCAGGCCAAUACCCAGAGGAGAUCUGAUAGAGAAUGAAGGAGGAAGGACAACUCAGGGAAAGAGAAGACUUCUGAACACUCAAAUAAUAUGAACUUCUCCUCGACUGGAGUGUAUCCUAAGGACAGCGUCAGUACGAAUCUCUAUCAGCCCGUGGAUUCCAAGCCCACCUUGGCUGGCCGCAGAAUGUUUAAAAAAGGUGGCGGAUUACGUGGACUCCGCGUAUCUUUCUAACCAGCAUGAAUCAAAAUCAAGAGGGAUUACGCAAUAUCAGAAAAUAAUAGUUUUCAGAAACGGAAAUGGAAGUUGUUAUCUCACAGCAUGUGUGUCCUUAUAAGAAAGGAUGAACUUAAGUUCAAAGCAGAGAACGGAUCGGAAGGCCUACCCUAAUCCUGUGCUAGGCUAACCUACCUCCGCCACUUGAAGUCAUGAUUUCUACAGCUUUGUCUUCUAUUUCACAUAGAAAAUAGUCCUCCAUUUUUAAAAAGAGGAAGAGUAGGAAAGGUCAAUGACAUCUACAUUUUCCUUUUAAUUCUUUAAUGUCUUUCCAUUCGUUAUUAAAAUAGUUCGGUAGAUAAGUUUAACUCCUGAUCCUAUAAUUCAGGGGAAGUCAGUGAACAGAUCAGAUGUGUGACUUCACCUUGGUUGGUUGUGGGAGAGAGGUCAUGGGGCAAUGCACCUGCACCCAGUAAGGAUCCCAUCCGUCUUCCCAGAAGCUGACUGAUGGCUCCCCUCCCCAAAGUGGUCCCACUUUGUCAGUUCACAGCCUUGGUCAAUAAUAUUCAGCAAAUAGAUGCAUUUGGCCCAAUGGCCCUCUCAUAAACUCUUAAUCAAACAUAAUUGAUAUUACUAAGAUGGUGAACAAAGCAGGGAUAUAUUUAUGUUCCUGGUAAGGUUUCUUACGUUGGCCAAUUUUUGCUGUCAAUUAUUCAUAUGAAGUUUAAUCAUUUAAAAGUUCAACAGAAACGAAUGUGGGUAAACUUUUAUCCUCGGUCUUAAAAGCUAAUUGAUUAUCAUAGGGUUGUGUAUUUUUUUUUCCAGUGUGCUAGAUUCAUCAUUAUAUUUAUAUAACGUUAGGUCUAUUCCUGAAAGCAUUUACUUAGGGAAAUACUUGGCAUUUACUUAGAGAAAUAAAAUAAAUCUUACUUUUGUUCCCUUGCCCCGAUUUUAUAUUUAUUCGCCCCACAGCCUGCAACAAUCCAAAGGAACGGAGAGUGUGUGCGAUGACCAGUAGCUAUUUUUGAGAGCUUGUUUGACUAACCUGGUGCACGAAUCCUCUCUAGAGUGUGGGACCAACACCAUUCUCGGAGAAGUGUGCUUCCCCGCGUGGAUGUGUAUAUAGGUGAAAUAUGCUAAAGAAAGGAUAAGCACCAAGGGCAACCCUUAAUCUGGAAGAGAAAAGGCAGAACGAGGAAGGGAUUAUACAUUCAAGGGGGUACAUGGUCUUGGAUCCUGCAGAAGGAAUAACCAUGUGUUUUUCAGUUUUGACUGGAUACUAAGAGAAGAAUUAUAGAUUACAUUUAUAUAUAUGAACCUCAGGUCUUUCUUUUUUUUAAAAAAAAAAAAAAAACGCCAACAGUGGGGAAACUGUAACGACAGCCUCCAUUUUACUUUACUCUGAGAUGGUCUGACCCCGAUGACCUGAAUGCAUUUCCACUCUUUCAAGGUUGAAAUAAAAAGCAAAGACUGCACAAAACAAUAAAACAAAGUUUAAAAAGUU